UACGUAGGUGGCAAGCGUUGUCCGGAAUUAUUGGGCGUAAAGCGCGCGCAGGCGGUUCUUUUAAGUCUGAUGUGAAAGCCCACGGCUCAACCGUGGAGGGUCAUUGGAAACUGGGGGACUUGAGUGCAGGAGAGAAGAGUGGAAUUCCACGUGUAGCGGUGAAAUGCGUAGAGAUGUGGAGGAACACCAGUGGCGAAGGCGACUCUUUGGCCUGUAACUGACGCUGAGGCGCGAAAGCGUGGGGAGCAAACAGG
rnacentral:rRNA from 1 species